AUAGAUAGAUAGAAAGGAGAUCAAAGAAUGAUUAUCACAGACAAAGGAGAAAAAGAACUUUGCAACUCUAUUUUACUCCUGUUUCCCCGGCCAAGAGAAAUGAGUUCUGGACUGGAUAGAAAAGAACAAUAACAACUAACAGGAUAACAGAACUGGCAGGACAGAGAGAAGAAAUAGCUGAAGCCUAUAGUGGAUGCCAAUCCAGUAGCCCAACAUCCUGCAGACUAAUCAGGAAGGGGAGGAGCUCCUGCCCCACCUUUUGCCAGGCUGGAUUAGCUGCAACUGAGCACUUUUACAUACAGUGCCUCCCCCACCUCUUCCAUUCUGAGAAAGGACAGAAGAACAGGAUAUGAGGAAAAGGCAUCAAGAUCCCUAAAUCUAGACAUGGGAAAUGGAGGAGGAGGGGAGACAGCAACCAUCAGGCCUCCUACGCACUUUGAAGAUGGUCCAUCAUAUGGAAUGCCAGGUGCUGAAGUUUCAAAGGAUUUGGGUCUAUUGGCAGAGGGCAAAGUCCCAUGAAGUGACUGAAGAAAAUUCAACAUCUUGGGCCUGUCUUAUUCUCCCAAGAAGCAGAAAAAAAUCAUGGAAGAGGUUGAGUCAUGGACUUUUCAUGGCAACACUGAACAUGGUACCACUGAACAUGGAAGCCAGUGGGAGAGUUGAAUUUCAUUUCCAGUUCUACCACAAACAACAUAUACACAGCCCCUUCUGCUUUCUUGGCCUUACCUUCAACAUCAAAAAAAUGAUGACAUAUCACUAGCUGAUCUCAACAUCAGCUCUUCUUCUUGAAAUGGACUCUAUCAUGCCCUUGGACAG
rnacentral:lncRNA from 1 species